AAUAGAUACCCGGGUAGUCCACGCUGUAAACGAUGGGCACUAGGUGUGGGGGGUGUCGACUCCCUCCGUGCCGAAGCUAACGCAUUAAGUGCCCCGCCUGGGGAGUACGGCCGCAAGGCUAAAACUCAAAGGAAUUGACGGGGGCCCGCACAAGCAGCGGAGCAUGUGGUUUAAUUCGACGCAACGCGAAGAACCUUACCUGGGCUUGACAUGUUCCUGACAUCCCUGGAAACAGGGCUUCCCUUCGGGGCAGGAUCACAGGUGGUGCAUGGCUGUCGUCAGCUCGUGUCGUAAGAUGUUGGGUUAAGUCCCGCAACGAGCGCAACCCCCGUCGCAUGUUGCCAGCAUUUAGUUGGGGACUCAUGCGAGACUGCCGGUGACAAACCGGAGGAAGGUGGGGAUGGCGUCAAGUCAUCAUGCCCCUUAUGUCCAGGGCUACACACGUGCUACAUUGGCGCGUACAGAGGGCUGCGAUACCGCGAGGUGGAGCGAAUCCCUUAAAGCGCGUCUCGGUUCGGAUUGCAGGCUGAAACCCGCCG
rnacentral:rRNA from 1 species